AUUGAACGCUGGCGGCAUGCUUUACGCAUGCAAGUCGAGCGGCAGCGCGGGGGCAACCCUGGCGGCGAGCGGCGAACGGGUGAGUAAUGCAUCGGAACGUACCCUGGAGUGGGGGAUAACGCCGCGAAAGCGGCGCUAAUACCGCAUAUGCUCUGAGGAGGAAAGUGGGGGACCGCAAGGCCUCACGCUCUGGGAGCGGCCGAUGUCCGAUUAGCUAGUUGGUGAGGUAAAGGCUUACCAAGGCGACGAUCGGUAGCUGGUCUGAGAGGAUGAUCAGCCACACUGGGACUGAGACACGGCCCAGACUCCUACGGGAGGCAGCAGUGGGGAAUUUUGGACAAUGGGGGCAACCCUGAUCCAGCCAUGCCGCGUGAGUGAAGAAGGCCUUCGGGUUGUAAAGCUCUUUUGGUCGGGAAGAAAGUGCUCUGCUUAAUACGCGGGGUAUUUGACGGUACCGGCAGAAUAAGCACCGGCUAACUACGUGCCAGCAGCCGCAGUAACAC
rnacentral:rRNA from 1 species